rnacentral:misc_RNA from 1 species
GAUGAAGAACGCAGCGAAAUGCGAUAAGUAAUGUGAAUUGCAGAAUUCAGUGAAUCAUCGAAUCUUUGAACGCACCUUGCGCCCUUUGGCCAUUCCGAAGGGCAUGCCUGUUUGAGUAUCAUGAACACCUCAACUCUUCAUGGUUUUCCAUGAUGAGCUUGGACUUUGGGGGUCUUGCUGGCCUGUGGGUCGGCUCCUCUCAAAUGAAUCAGCUUGCCGGUUUUUGGUGGGCAUCACAGGUGUGAUAACUAUCUACGCUUGUGGUUUUCCACCAGGGUAACCUUCAGCAGUGGAGGUUCACUGGAGCUUACAAAUGUCUCUCCUCUGUGAGGACAGCCCUUUGAAUGUUUGAUUUCAAAUCAGGUAGGACUACCCGCUGAACUUAAGCAUAUCAAUAAGCGGAGGA